CGGCAAACUCAUCGAAAGAUGACGACGCAAAGCUAUGAGUCUAAAGCGGUGCUUCCGUUAUGAUCGUCAGGCUGCAAA
rnacentral:ncRNA from 1 species